rnacentral:rRNA from 1 species
CCCGCACAAGCAGCGGAGCGUGUGGUUUAAUUCGAUGCUACACGAAGAACCUUACCAGGGUUUGACAUGCAAGUGGUAGGAACCGAAAGGUGACCGACCUUCGGGAGCCUAUACAGGUGUUGCAUGGCUGUCGUCAGCUCGUGUCGUGAGAUGUUCGGUUAAGUCCGCUAACGAGCGCAACCCUCGUCGUAUGUUAUAUGUGUCAUACGAGACUGCCGGUAAAAGCCGGAGGAAGGUGAGGAUGAUGUCAAGUCAGCAUGACCUUUAUAUCCAGGGCUACACACACGCUACAAUGGUCUGUACAAUGGGUAGCCAAGCCGCGAGGCGGAGCCAAUCCUCAAAGUUGGUCUCAGUUCAGAUUGCAGGCUGCAACCCGCCUGCAUGAAGAUGGAGUUGCUAGUAACCGCAGGUCAGCUAUACUGCGGUGAAUACGUUCCCGGGGCUU